UUUAUGGAGAGUUUGAUCCUGGCUCAGGAUGAACGCUGGCGGCGUGCCUAAUACAUGCAAGUCGAGCGAACGGACGAGAAGCUUGCUUCUCUGAUGUUAGCGGCGGACGGGUGAGUAACACGUGGAUAACCUACCUAUAAGACUGGGAUAACUUCGGGAAACCGGAGCUAAUACCGGAUAAUAUUUUGAACCGCAUGGUUCAAAAGUGAAAGACGGUCUUGCUGUCACUUAUAGAUGGAUCCGCGCUGCAUUAGCUAGUUGGUAAGGUAACGGCUUACCAAGGCAACGAUGCAUAGCCGACCUGAGAGGGUGAUCGGCCACACUGGAACUGAGACACGGUCCAGACUCCUACGGGAGGCAGCAGUAGGGAAUCUUCCGCAAUGGGCGAAAGCCUGACGGAGCAACGCCGCGUGAGUGAUGAAGGUCUUCGGAUCGUAAAACUCUGUUAUUAGGGAAGAACAUAUGUGUAAGUAACUGUGCACAUCUUGACGGUACCUAAUCAGAAAGCCACGGCUAACUACGUGCCAGCAGCCGCGGUAAUACGUAGGUGGCAAGCGUUAUCCGGAAUUAUUGGGCGUAAAGCGCGCGUAGGCGGUUUUUU
rnacentral:rRNA from 1 species